rnacentral:rRNA from 1 species
UACGGGGGGGGCAAGCGUUGUUCGGAAUUACUGGGCGUAAAGGGCGCGUAGGCGGCCUUCUAAGUCGGACGUGAAAUCCCUCGGCUCAACCGAGGAACUGCGUCUGAUACUGGAAGGCUUGAAUCCGGGAGAGGGAUGUGGAAUUCCAGGUGUAGCGGUGAAAUGCGUAGAUAUCUGGAGGAACACCGGUGGCGAAGGCGGCAUCCUGGACCGGCAUUGACGCUGAGGCGCGAAAGCUAGGGGAGCAAACGGG